GGAUAGGGGAGAAAUUCCAAUCGAACCCGGAGAUAGCUGGUUCUCCCCGAAAGCUAUUUAGGUAGCGCCUCGGACGAAUACCAUUGGGGGUAGAGCACUGUUUCGGCUAGGGGGUCAUCCCGACUUACCAAACCGAUGCAAACUCCGAAUACCAAUGAGUACUAUCCGGGAGACAGACUGCGGGUGCUAACGUCCGUAGUCAAGAGGAAAACAAUCCAGA
rnacentral:rRNA from 1 species